rnacentral:rRNA from 1 species
CGAAUAUAUUUACCGGAGGUAAAGCACUGAAUGGUCGAGGGGUCGAGAGACUACCAACACCUAUCAAACUAAGAAUACCGGAUAAAUGAGUUCGGGAGUCAGACUACGUGAGAUAAGUCUCGUGGUCAAAAGGGAAACAGCCCAGACCCACAGCUAAGGUCCCCAAUGUAUGCUAAGUGGAAAACGAUGUGACAAUGCUAAGACAACUAGGAUGUUGGCUUAGAAGCAGCCACUCAUUCAAAGAGUGCGUAAUAGCUCACUAGUCGAGUGAUGUUGCGCGGAAAAUUCAACGGGGCUAAGCAUACAACCGAAGCUUGGGCAGUAGAAAUACUGGGUAGGGGAGCGUUCUGUACGGGCAGAAGCAUCAGCGGAAGCAGAUGUGGACUGUACAGAAGUGAGAAUGCCGGAAUGAGUAGCGAGAAUUGUGUGAGAAUCAUAAUGGCCGAAAAUCUAAGGUUUCCGGGGGUAGGGUCGUCCACCCCGGGUUAGCCGGGAGCUAAGGCGAGGCCGCGAGGCGUAGUCGAUGCACAAACGGUAGAGAUUCCGUUGCCGCCAGAUCUUAAGUAACUGACACGAGGGUAGAGUUCAACCCGGCCGAUGGUAGAGCCGGGCGAAAGGGACUGAAGAAUAGUAGGGAAGUGAACGAAGCCAGCGGCGAGAAAAGGUUAUGUAUGAAAUCAGGCGCCCGUACCGCAAACCGACACAGGUAGAUGAGGAGAGGAUCCUAAGGCCAGCGGGAGAAGGGUUGUUAAGGAACUCGGCAUAUUGACCCCGUAACUUCGGAAGAAGGGGUGCCUCCGUAAGGAGGCCGCAGUGAAAAGGCCCAGGCAACUGUUUAUCAAAAACACAGGUUUCUGCAAAAGCGAAAGCUGAAGUAUAGGAGCUGACGCCUGCCCGGUGCUGGAAGGUCAAGGGGAUCGCUUAGCGCAAGCGAAGGCGAGAACUUAAGCCCCAGUAAACGGCGGCCGUAACUAUAACGGUCCUAAGGUAGCGAAAUUCCUUGCCAGGUAAGUUCUGGCCUGCACGAAUGGCGUAAUGAUCUGGGCACUGUCUCAACAGCCCGCCCGGCGAAAUUGUAGUACUGGUGAAGAUGCCAGUUUCCUGCGACUAGACGGAAAGACCCCAUGGAGCUUUACUGUAGUCUGAUACUGAAAUUUGGUUCAUUAUGCACAGGAUAGGUGGGAGACAGAGAAACCCGGGCUUUGGCUUGGGCGGAGUCGCCGUUGGGAUACCACUCUUGAUGAACCAAGUUUCUAACCUGCUCCCGUGAUCCGGGAGGGGGACAAUGUCAGAUGGGCAGUUUGACUGGGGCGGUCGCCUCCAAAAGAGUAACGGAGGCGUUCAAAGGUUGGCUCAGCGCGGACGGAAAUCGCGCAAUGAGUAUAAACGUAUAAGCCAGCCUAACUGUGAGACCUACAAGUCGAGCAGUAACGAAAGUUGGAGUUAGUGAUCAGGUGG